rnacentral:sRNA from 1 species
AGGUGAAGAUUAGUAUGCAAAAGAACAAAAGAAAAAUUAGUAGAAGUAUAGAACAAAUGUGAUAAGAAAGACAUCAACUAAUUUCAAAAAAAAUCCUUAAAUGAUUUUACUAGAAAAGAGAGGGAAGAAAAUUAACAGGAUUGUUUUUGUUCAAUAUGAAAAAAUGUAGAAGGUAAAAAUGAGGGGGAAAAAAGAUGAAUAGAAAAUAUUCAUCAAAACUCAAAUGUAAAAUGCAUGUAUCUUGGUGUGGUUCAAUAACCAUUUAUCUAAGUUGAUAUAAACAAAAAGCAUAUUUGGAUAGAGUUGAGAACUCUAACAAAUAAUCAUGAGCUAACAAUGUUUCUUCUGUUAUGGAGUUUAUAGUAUGUGAAUGUGAUUGUUGAGAAAUCUAACAAAUAGUCAUGAGCUUACAAUGUUUCUUCUGUAGGAAGCAUGAGAUGUAAUGUGUAUUUGGGUUCAAAAGGUUCAUCACUUAGAAUUCAAGCUCACACGAGCAUUCGAUCACCAAGACAAAUUACAGGAAUUCACAAAUCUGUCUUUCAUUACACAGUGUUUUUGAUACACAUAAAGCUCAUAAGGUACACAUAUUUCUAUUUUUACAUUCAUUAGUUGAAAGGGAUAACAAUAUCGCCAAUGUUGUUGUGCCAUGGAUCCGCCAAGUGAGUUGCCAAGUUCUCCAAUGGUCCUGUCCCCGGGUAAGCCGACUGUUGCACACAGAAUCCUACAAACGCCAACAGCGCAAGCCGCCCUGUUACACCCACCAAGCAAAAAACACCAACAUUAGAUAUACAUUUGUACAUAAGUUUGAUCAAGAAAGGUAAGUUGUUGUGUGUGCUUACCGUUCUUGAUCUCUUUAACUUUCAAUUCCUCGAGCUUCUUGGGGUCCUUCGAGUAUCCAAGAGGGUCAAAUGCGCCUCCCGGGUACUUCUUCUUCUCAGGGUCUUUCUCCAUACUUCUCUGGUGCUCAACAAAUGCAAUGGCUAAGAACUCAAUGGCCAAGAUUGUGGGCAAAGUACCCCACGGGACUGGGUUUCCCAAGUAAGUGGCUUGACCCCCUGGUAGUGCUGCCCAUUCCUGAGCCUUAACCCAGUUUCCAUAUCCUAAUGCUUCUGGUACCAAAAUCCCAGGCUACAACACCACCCACCAAGUCCAUUAGAUUAAACUUAACAAGACUAAACCCUUAUGAUAAGACAAAGAUUGGAUAUUGAAACUUACAACAGCGAGCAUAGCCCAUCUACAGUGGAUGAGCUCUGACUCUUUGUAUCUCUCAAGGUUCGCUGGAACUUCUCCAAGUCCAAGUGGGUCAAACCCAAAGUCACUGCACAAUGUUGUACCCAAUAAC